rnacentral:rRNA from 1 species
GAUGAACGCUGGCGGCGUGCCUAAUACAUGCAAGUCGAGCGAACGGACGAGAAGCUUGCUUUUCUGAUGUUAGCGGCGGACGGGUGAGUAACACGUGGAUAACCUACCUAUAAGACUGGGAUAACUUCGGGAAACCGGCGCUAAUACCGGAUAAUAUUUUGAACCGCAUGGUUCAAAAGUGAAAGACGGUCUUUCUGUCACUUAUAGAUGGAUCCGCGCUGCAUUAGCUAGUUGGUAAGGUAACGGCUUACCAAGGCAACGAUGCAUAGCCGACCUGAGAGGGGGAUCGGCCACACGGGAACGGAGACACGGUCCAGACUCCUACGGGAGGCAGCAGUAGGGAAUCUGCCGCAAUGGGCGAAAGCAUGACGGAGCAACGCCGCGUGAGUGAUGAAGGUCUUCGGAUCGUAAAACUCUGUUAUUAGGGAAGAACAGAUGUGGAAGGAACUGUGCACAUCUUGACGGUACCUAAUCAGAAAGCCACGGCUAACUACGUG